rnacentral:lncRNA from 1 species
UAAAUUACUCUGGCAUUAUGCUUGUUAGGAGUUCAAAAGACUUGACUGUGACUUGUUUUAUAUUUCCUGUUCACUAGGGACAACCAGGAGAAAAUGGAAAAGCAGGACCAAAGGGUGAAAUUGGUGAAAAAGGACAAAAGGGAGAGCCAGGCAUCGGACAUAGAGGGCCGGAGGGGCAGGCUGGACCUCCUGGGCAGAAGGGGGAACCAGGUGAGCCCGGACCCCCAGGUGCUCAGGGAAUACAAGGCAUCCCAGGCAACACAGGCAUCCAGGGCUCCCCAGGCCUGAGGGGUCCCCCAGGAGACCCAGGACAGCCAGGACGAGAGGGAGACAGAGGGAAACGAGGGAAGAAUGGUUCACCUGGAUCAUCUGGACCUCAAGGAGAACCAGGACCUCCAGUAAAGAAAUACAAAGAUGGAUUGACUGAAUUCUUUUUUUUGUUUUGUUUUGUUUUCUGUCCUGAAGCAUAAAUUAACACUAUCUUAGAAAUAGUGAUGUC